rfam:Stegodyphus mimosarum contig95618, whole genome shotgun sequence.
GCCUUCGUGGUGUAAUGGUCAGCACACUGAGCCGGUAUUUCAGAGGUCCGCGGUUCGAUCCCCGGCGAAGGCA